rnacentral:rRNA from 1 species
UACGUAGGGGCAAGCGUUGGUCCGGAAUCAUUGGGCGUAAAGAGCGUGUAGGCGGCUCGGUAAGUCCGCUGUAAAAGUCCAGGGCUCAACCCUGGAAAGCCGGUGGAAACUGUCGAGCUAGAGUCCGGAAGAGGCGAGUGGAAUUCCUGGUGUAGCGGUGAAAUGCGCAGAUAUCAGGAGGAACACCAAUGGCGAAGGCAGCUCGCUGGGACGGUAACUGACGCUGAGGCGCGAAAGCGUGGGUAGCAAACGGG